GACGAACCGAGCGAACGUUGUUCGGAAUCACUGGGCUUAAAGGGCGCGUAGGCGGGCUGUCAAGUUUGGGGUGAAAUCUCACGGCUCAACCGUGGAACUGCCUCAAAUACUGACGGUCUCGAGGGAGAUAGGGGCGAGCGGAACUAAUGGUGGAGCGGUGAAAUGCGUUGAUAUCAUUAGGAACUCCGGUGGCGAAGGCGGCUCGCUGGAUCUCUUCUGACGCUGAGGCGCGAAAGCUAGGGGAGCAAACGGGAUUAGAAACCCCCGUAGUCC
rnacentral:rRNA from 1 species